GGGAUCUUGCGCANGGGCGAANCCUGNGCAGCAACGCCGCGUGGGGGAUGAAGCUUCUCGGAGUGUAAACCCCUUUCGACCCGGACGAAUGCCCGCAAGGGUUUGACGGUACGGGUAUAAGAAGCCCCGGCUAACUACGUGCCAGCAGCCGCGGUAAAACGUAGGGGGCCAGCGUUGCUCGGAAUUACUNGGGCGUAAAGGGUCCGUAGGCGGUGUGGCAAGUCGGAAGUGAAAUCUCUGGGCUUAACCCAGAGGCUGCUUCCGAAACUGCUGUGCUAGAGUGCGAGAGAGGCGAGUGGAAUUGCGGGUGUAGCNGGUGAAAUGCGUAGAUAUCCGCAGGAACAUCCGAGGCGAAAGCGGCUCGCUGGAUCGCAACUGACGCUGAGGGACGAAAGCUAGGGGAGCAAACAGGAUUAGAUACCCUGGUAGUCCUAGCCCUAAACCAUCAGGACUUGGGGUUUGCCCUGUACGGGGCAAGUCCCGUAGCUAACGCGUUAAGUCCUGCGCCUGGGGAGUACGGUCGCAAGGCUGAAACUCAAAAAAAUUGACGGA
rnacentral:rRNA from 1 species